rnacentral:rRNA from 1 species
UACGUAGGGUGCAAGCGUUAAUCGGAAUUACUGGGCGUAAAGCGUGCGCAGGCGGCUAUGCAAGACAGAUGUGAAAGCCCCGGGCUCAACCUGGGAAUUGGCAUUCGAGACUGCAUGGCUAGGGUGCGGAAGAGGGAAGCGGAAUUUCCGGUGUAGCGGUGAAAUGCGUAGAUAUCGGAAGGAACACCAGUGGCGAAAGCGGCUUCCUGGUCCAGCACCGACGUUCAGGCACGAAAGCGUGGGGAGCAAACAGG